GAGAGGAGGAAGUGGAGCUCCCAGCUUAAGGAGCGUGGAGGUUAUUCCAUGUUGCCUUGUUUGGAGAAGUUUUGGGGCACCAUUGCUGGGAAGGAGAUGAGGUGCUGGAUGCUCAGCGCUUUUCCCUUUCCUAUGGCUGAAUGUCGGCUGAUGCUGUUUGCUAAACAAGAGUGCCGGUGGCAGAGGAAUUAGAAGAAAUCCCUUCUUAAUUGGAAACAGUGAGUUUGUGUAUUUUUUCAGUUGUCUAUUUUGGGCCUUGUAAAAUUAAAGUUAUUAACUGUAAUGCAGCGGUUUCCAGAUUCCCACAGCCCUUUACAAUAGUG
rnacentral:lncRNA from 1 species